AGUGAACGCUGGCGGUAGGCCUAACACAUGCAAGUCGAACGGCAGCACAGUAAGAGCUUGCUCUUACGGGUGGCGAGUGGCGGACGGGUGAGGAAUACAUCGGAAUCUACUUUUUCGUGGGGGAUAACGUAGGGAAACUUACGCUAAUACCGCAUACGACCUACGGGUGAAAGCAGGGGAUCUUCGGACCUUGCGCGAUUGAAUGAGCCGAUGUCGGAUUAGCUUGUUGGCGGGGUAAAGGCCCACCAAGGCGACGAUCCGUAGCUGGUCUGAGAGGAUGAUCAGCCACACUGGAACUGAGACACGGUCCAGACUCCUACGGGAGGCAGCAGUGGGGAAUAUUGGACAAUGGGCGCAAGCCUGAUCCAGCCAUACCGCGUGGGUGAAGAAGGCCUUCGGGUUGUAAAGCCCUUUUGUUGGGAAAGAAAAGCAGCAGGUUAAUACCCCGCUGUUCUGACGGUACCCAAAGAAUAAGCACCGGCUAACUUCGU
rnacentral:rRNA from 1 species